UCCAUUAAUAUUAUAACAAAUUGAUUAAUAAUAUUACGUGAUUAUGUGAUCCAAAGUUCUUAAUAAAAAAAUUUCAACUUUUAACUAAGAAAAAAGAAAGAAUUGAAGUUCAACUUAUUCAUGGAAGGAAAAUAGAAACCGAGCAAGGUUUUGAUUAUUUGGUAUACUCUUCAGGUGCAUGGAAUAAACACAAUGGAAACACCAAUGUAAGGUGCCAUCAGAAAGUAAAAACCGGAAUUAACGAAAUCCAGUUACUAAUAUUUCAAACUUAAUAAUUAACUAACAACAAACCAUAUUCUGUUUUACAGAUUGCGUAAUUCUGCCAUUGUAUGAUGAACUAAGACUGAAAAAUUACCAGUGUGUAUGAGAAAAUCCUGGGCGGAUCAUAAACAAGAUCCAAAAAGUCACACCUUUAUGCAGCAUGAACAUAAAAAUAUCAAACAAAAGAAUGAGAGAAAGAGAUAGAAGAGAGAGGGGCUGGAAUUCAUUAAGCUAAUGGCCGGGGCCUUUUUUACUAGGUCCAGAGGCCAAUCUAAGCGCCAAGCUCUUCAUAGAAGGACGUGUUGGUAUAUGGUCCAGCCCAUGAUCAAUGUUCUAGAUUAUUCUAGUAAGCAAGAGAUGAGGCUGGAGCUUGCUAGACAAUUCUAGCAUGUUAUUAAGUUGAUGGAAGAAGCUAGAGAGUACUAGCUUCCUUGGUUGCAAAUGGAAAGAUCUAGAAGCUACAAGUAUGUGGCUAGUCUAGAUUUUUCUAUACUAGAGGUUUGAAGAAGGAACUAGAAACUAGUAGAAUGCCAAGCCCUCAACUAUAAAUAUGGGUGUGAUGUAACCAAUUGAGAAGAAAGAGUGAGUAGCAAAGGAUCAAGUCCAAAGCUAGAGUUCCACUCCAAGAGUGAGAGUGAGAGUGUUCCACUACACAUUGUGUGAGUGAAGUUUAGAGUGAUAGAAAGUGUGUGUUAUACUUUCUUGUAUCCAUCAAGCCUUGUCUUUGGCUUGGUAAGACUACUCUUGUUGUAUUCAUCUUUUUCAUAUAGUGAAGAUUGAUCCUUGUUUGGUGGACGUAGGCAUAAAUUGCCGAACCACAUAAAUUCUUGGUGUCCAUUUUCUACUUUACCUUGUGCAUUCUCUAUCUUGUAGUACCGACAUUCCUAACAAGUGGUAUCAGAGCCCGGUUGGCUCGUACUGCGAGAUGGAAGGAAGUGGCACUAUGAUCAAACUCACAAACUCCAAUUGGGUAACAUGGAAGCCAAGGAUGGAGGACAUUCUCUAUUGCAAGGAUCUGCAUGAGCCAAUUGAAGGAGAUGCCGCUAAGCCAGAGAGCAUGUCCGAUGCCGAGUGGAAGAAGAUGAAUCGCAAGGCUAUUGGCACAAUUAGACAAUGGGUGGACGAUAGUGUUUUUCACCAUGUGUCUAAUGAAACCAAUGCUCGCGAGUUUUGGACAAAGCUUGAGUCCCUGUUCGAGAAGAAGACUCCAGCUAAGAAAGCCUUCUUGAUCAAAGAGCUCAUCAAUGUGAAAUACAAGGAUGGUUUAAGUGUAGCAGAACACUUGAACAAUUUCCAGAAUAUCAUCAACCAGUUGGCUACUAUGAAAAUGACGAUCGAGGACGAGCUACAAGCGCUCUUGUUACUUGGAUCCUUGCCAGACAGUUGGGAGACCUUUGUGGUGAGUAUAAGUAACUCUGCUUCUAAUGGUGUUCUUACCCUUGAUAAUGUUAAAAAUAGCAUGCUCAAUGAAGAAACAAGGAGAAAGACUUCUGGCACAGAUAGCAGCCAAGUAUUUGUCACAGAGAACCGCGGAAGAAGCAAGAGUAGAGGGCCUAGAGGUCAUGGCAGGAGUCCUAGCCGAUCCAAGUCAAGGUUCAGGGGUGCAUGCCACCAUUGUGGCAAAGAAGGCCAUAUGAAGAAAAAUUGUCGAGUUUGGAAGAGAGAGCAAAGGGAAGGAAACAAUCAGAAGAAAGAUGAUACUGGCAAUACCACUGCUGUCAUAUGUGGCGAUGUACCAGAAAUAUUGUCUGUUGGUGAAUGUCUGCAUAUGGGCAACUCUGACAGAGACAUUGAAUGGAUCUUUGACAAUGGAGCUUCCUUCCAUGCUACGUCCAAACGGGAGUUCUUCAGUACAUACAAAGAAGGUGACUUUGGCAUAGUGAAGAUGGGGAAUGAAAGCUAUUCCAAAAUUCUUGGAAUUGGUGAUAUCUGCUUAAGAACUAAUCUCGGCUGCCAAUUGAUGUUGAAAGAUGUGAGACAUAUUCCUGAUAUACGUCUCAAUCUGAUAUCCAUCGGUACCCUUGAUCGACAAGGAUAUUAUCACCAUAUUGGCGAAGGAAAAUUGAAGCUUACUAAAGGCUUAAUGGUGGUAGCAAAAGCACGACUUUGUUGUACGUUGUACCGGUCAAAUGCCAAGGUUUUGAAAGGUGAGUUGAAUGCUGUGGAGGACUCAUCUCUAGACUUGUGGCAUAAGAGGCUAGGCCACAUGAGCGAGAAAGGCCUACAAGUUUUGGCAAAGAAGUCUCAUAUUCCCUUUGCCAAAGGUACGUCGUUAAACUCUUGUGAGCAUUGUUUAUUCGGAAAACAAAGAAGAGUUAGUUUUUCUGUUCCAUCUACAAAGAAAGGAAACUUGUUAGAUCUUGUUUAUUCAGAUGUGUGUGGUCCCAUGGAAGUCGAGUCACUUGGAAGAAAUAAAUAUUUUGUUACUUAUAUUGAUGAUGCUUCACGAAGGGUGUGGGUGUAUUUGUUGAAAUCCAAAGACCAGGUGUUUCAGACAUUCCAGGAGUUCCAUGCCAUGGUGGAGAGGGAAAUUGGGAAACCUCUCAAGUGCCUUCGUAGCGACAACGGCGAGUACACAUCUCACAAAUUUAGAAAGUAUUGUGUGAAACAUGGCAUACGUCAUGAGAAGACAGUUCCUGGAACUCCACAACAUAAUGGUGUUGCUGAAAGAAUGAACCGAACCAUCAUGGAGAAAGUCAGGUGUAUGCUGAGGACUGCAAAGUUAUCUAAACAGUUCUGGGGUGAAGCUGUAAGGACAGCCUGCUAUUUGAUCAACCGAUCUCCAUCAGUACCAUUAGGUCUUGAUGUUCCAGAGAGAGUAUGGACUGGUAAUGAUGUGUCUUACUCUCAUCUGAAGGUGUUUGGCUGCAAAGCUUUUGUGCAUGUGCCCAAAGAGCAGAGAUCGAAGUUAGACUACAAAGCUACACCGUGCAUCUUUCUUGGUUAUGGUGAUGAAGAUUUUGGUUACAGAUUAUGGGACCCAUACCAAAAGAAGUUUAUCCGAAGUAGAGACGUGGUCUUUUAUGAAGAUCAAACAAUUGGGAAUUCGGAUAAAGAAGCACAACCAGAUGGCGCAGACAGAGGAGUUGAUCCAUUAGCUUCAGAUGAAGAAAGUCACGAUGACAUCCCUGAAGCAGCUGCCAAUGAAAUGCCUGCAGAACCAGAUAAUGCUGAUCAGGGGGAGCCUGAUCAAGAUGUGCCAGACCAUGAGAUUGCUGAUCAGGUGGAGCCUAGUCAAGAAGAGCAGAUUCAAGGAGAACCCAAUCAGGGGGAGCCUCUAGCCCCGCCGCAAGAGAAUGAAGAUCAGGUCAGAAGAUCCAGCAGAAGUCGAAGACCGUCUACCAAGUAUUCUUCAUCAGAGUAUAUCAUGUUGACUAAUUAUGGAGAGCCCGAAACUUAUGAGGAGGCCAGAGCUCAUAACGACAGUGAUAAAUGGAUGAAGGCAAUGGAGUCAGAGAUGGAUUCCUUAUUAAAGAAUAAUACCUAUGAGCUGGUGGAGCUUCCAAAGGGCAGAAAAGCAUUGAAAAACAAGUGGGUGUUCAAAUUGAAAAAUGACGACAACAUGACAAGGUACAAGGCUCGUUUGGUUGUCAAAGGUUUUGGUCAAAAGAAAGGAGUUGACUUCGAUGAGAUUUUCUCACCGGUGGUGAAGAUGACUUCCAUUCGAGUUAUCCUUGGUAUGGCAGCAAGUAUGGAUCUUGAGCUCGAGCAGUUAGAUGUUAAAACUGCAUUUCUCCACGGCAAUUUAGAAGAGGAGAUAUACAUGGAGCAACCCAAAGGCUUUGAAGUCAAAGGUAAAGAAAAUUUGGUGUGCAAGCUCAAGAAAAGCUUAUAUGGUCUUAAGCAGGCUCCGAGACAGUGGAAUAAGAAGUUCAACUCAUUCAUGGUGAGUAAUGGGUACAAGAGAACUCAUGCUGACUCUUGUGUCUAUAUCAAACAAUUUUCUGGAGGUAAAUUCAUCAUCUUAUUGCUUUAUGUUGAUGAUAUGUUGAUUGUCGGACAAGAUACCUCUAUGAUUAAAAAGCUCAAAGAAGAGUUAUCUAAGUCCUUUGACAUGAAGGACUUAGGGCCAGCCAAGCAGAUUUUGGGCAUGGAUAUAAUUCGUGACAGAAAAUCCAAAAAGUUGUGGCUGUCACAAGAAAAGUAUGUUGAACGGGUGCUUGAAAGGUUCAACAUGAAAGCAGCCAAAUCGGUAAGCUCACCUUUAGCCAAUCAUAUCAAGUUGAGCAAAGAGUCGUGUCCAAAAACAUAUGAAGAAAAGGAGAAAAUGGCAGUUGUUCCCUACUCUUCAGCAGUAGGAAGUAUCAUGUAUGCAAUGGUGUGCACACGGCCAGAUAUUGCUCAUGCAGUAGGUGUGGUGAGCAGGUUUCUCUCUAAUCCAGGGAAGGACCACUGGGAAGCUGUUAAGUGGAUUCUCAGAUAUUUGAAGGGGACUUCUAAGAUGUGCUUGUGCUUUGGCGGUUCCAAACCAAUCUUGGAAGGAUUUACAGAUGCUGACAUGGGAGGUGACCUGGAUGGUAGAAAAUCUACGUCUGGGUACUUGUUUACUUUUGCAGGGGGAGCCGUGUCUUGGCAAUCCAAGUUACAAAAGUGCAUUGCUUUGUCCACAACCGAGGCUGAAUACAUAGCCGCUACAGAAGCAUGCAAGGAGUUGUUGUGGCUGAAGCGGUUUCUCCAAGAGUUGGGUUUGAAGCAAAGUGAUUAUGGCGUUUAUUGUGAUAGUCAGAGUGCUCUGGAUUUGAGCAAGAACACUACAUAUCAUUCACGCACUAAGCACAUUGAUAUUCGUUAUCACUGGAUUAGAGACGCUAUCGAGAACAAGUUGCUACAGCUGAAGAAGAUUCAUACCGAUAAUAAUUCUUCAGACAUGUUGACAAAGGUAGUCACAAAAUCAAAGUUGGAAUUCUGCAUUAAGGCUGCUGGGAUGAACUCCAGGUAACUUGGAGUCAUGAUCGGAAUUCCUCCCUCAUGGACUGGAGGGGGAGAUUGUUGGUAUAUGGUCCAGCCCAUGAUCAAUGUUCUAGAUUAUUCUAGUAAGCAAGAGAUGAGGCUGGAGCUUGCUAGACAAUUCUAGCAUGUUAUUAAGUUGAUGGAAGAAGCUAGAGAGUACUAGCUUCCUUGGUUGCAAAUGGAAAGAUCUAGAAGCUACAAGUAUGUGGCUAGUCUAGAUUUUUCUAUACUAGAGGUUUGAAGAAGGAACUAGAAACUAGUAGAAUGCCAAGCCCUCAACUAUAAAUAUGGGUGUGAUGUAACCAAUUGAGAAGAAAGAGUGAGUAGCAAAGGAUCAAGUCCAAAGCUAGAGUUCCACUCCAAGAGUGAGAGUGAGAGUGUUCCACUACACAUUGUGUGAGUGAAGUUUAGAGUGAUAGAAAGUGUGUGUUAUACUUUCUUGUAUCCAUCAAGCCUUGUCUUUGGCUUGGUAAGACUACUCUUGUUGUAUUCAUCUUUUUCAUAUAGUGAAGAUUGAUCCUUGUUUGGUGGACGUAGGCAUAAAUUGCCGAACCACAUAAAUUCUUGGUGUCCAUUUUCUACUUUACCUUGUGCAUUCUCUAUCUUGUAGUACCGACAUUCCUAACAGGACGACGGUCCGUCCUGCUGCUCGAGUUGUAGUUGGAAGAAACAGCAAAGUUAGCCAUUCCUCCCGCUGCCUCCUCAGCCCCAUCACCACCUUUGCAUCCGCCACUAGUGGUGGUAGCAUUAUUGCUCGCCGUCGAUUUCAGGGUUCGGCAAUCAACUUGAGCAAACUGCGACGACACAAUCAGCACCAUCAACCCCACCACAACCCACACACAGCUGGAACUUGAUCCUGCCGAGUUCUUCAUUGACAUCUUCAACUAACAAAAUCUUUAAUUUCUAUUCAAUUUUUUUCGGGUUGGUUUAUAUUUUCGUUGUGUCUAAAAGGAAGGGCUCCCGACUCAUAUAUAUACAAGAAUUUUAGUUGCUGAUGACGGUGUUGCUUAGCUAUGAGUGCAGUGGGGUCAAAUAACAUGAUGUUUGACUUUCCCUUAUUUUCCUGUGUGUUUUUUUCAUUUUUAAUUAAGUAAUGUUAGUAGGACUAAAUUUUCAAAUCAAAUUUAUAUAUUAAAUGACGUGUCACCAAUAAGAAAUAAGCACGUUAAUCGAUAUUUGAUUAAUAAUCUAAUAAUUAAUAACUACAUUAUUUGGUUUACAUAAUUUAAUUUAAAAUUUGGGUAAAUUACAUAGUAGCCCCUCAGGUUUGAGGACUAUUGCAAUCUUAUACAACAUCUUUAAAACAUUUCACUUUCAUACCUCAAGUACUAUUUUAUUUCAAUUUCAUACAACCGUUACAUUUUCCAUCCAUGGAUUUGUUAAAUGCUGACGUGGCCAAAUGUCUGCCACGUGGCAAAUAAAAUAAUUUUUUUAUUUUUUUAAAAAAAACUGAAAUUGGAAGAAGACAAAAAAAAAAAAAGAAGGGACCGAACCCCUGCAACCCAGAAGAAGAAGGAGAAGAAGAAGAAGAAGAAGAAGAAGAGGAGGAGGAAAGAAGAAGAAGAAGAAGAAGAAGAAGAAAGAAAGAGAAGAGAGAAGAAGAAGAAAGAGAAAGAGAAGAAAGAAAAAAGAGAAAAAAAAAAAAGGGGUCCGAACCCAGAAGAAGAAGAAGAAGAAAAAAAAGGGACCGAACCCAGAAGAAGAAGAAAGAGAAAGAGAAAAGAGAAGAAGAAGAAGAGAAGAAGAAAGAAAGAGAAGAAGAAGAAAGAGAAAAAAAAAAGUGGCAAACAAGUUUUUUUAAAAUAAAUUAAAAAAUUAUUUUAUUUACCACGUGGCAGACAUUUGGCAGCCACGUGGCAUACAUGUAGCAACCACGUCAGCAUUUAACAGAUCUAUGGAUGGAAAAUGUAACGGUUGUAUGAAAUUGAAAUAAAAUAGUACUUGAGGUAUAAAAGUGAAAUGUUUUAAAGAUAUUGUAUAAGAUUGCAAUAGACCUCAAACCUGAUGGGCUACUAUAUAAUUUACCCUUAAAAUUUUGGUCUCUCUAACAAUACUUUUUCUUUUCUUUUUUGUCAUAGUUUACUUCUGUGAGAUCACGUGGCAAGCAAGGCGCGGGAGGUGAGCUUUUACUUUGAAAUUUCUGGUUCGUUUGUGCUGUUGGAAUUUGACUUUAAAUAUUGCCAAACCUUUGUAUGUCAGCAACGAGAAAAUGUUCGUUGGUCCAUAAAAUCUUUUAAGUGUAUCUCUGUGUGUGUGUUUUGAGCAGGAGCUUUUUUGCAUGGUCACAUUCGAUACCCUCAUAUAGGUUCACACGGUCCUCGUCUAUGAUCGAUCUAACGCGGGUGUGCUGUAACGCGGUCUCUCUUUAUUCUUUCUUUUCUUUUUUUCCCAAUAAAAAUGCAGGACAACCAAUUUGAGAGGGAUAAUUAAAAGCAGUUUUUGUUUAGAAAUGGCAUGCAAAUCUACUUUUCUCUGAAAAUCUAUUUUUUCUCUGUUGAACGGUCUUAGAAAAUUGUUGUCAAGAAAGUUGAGUUUAUAUUGUAAAAUUAAACAUGUAAAGUUUGGUGCAUUGUAAAAUAUUUUUUCACAUCCAUACAUGUAUGCUCACGUUUAGGGAACUUUCAAGCUUAAUUAAUAAGUUGAGAGCAUAAAUUGGGUGACAAGAAUCACGUGCGGCUGUUAGGUUUCACAUGUGGACCGACUUGAUCUAAUAUGUUGAAUGAAGUUGAGGUUCCAAUGUAAAACCCCUUAGCAAUAUUGAAAGUAGUCCGACUCCUUACCACCACAUGCAUGCAAGACUUGAUGAACUUCACAUAUCGCACGGUCAUGUAUUGUGUUAUUAAGUUACGUGUUAUAAUAUAAAUGCAGGAUAUAUAUCAUCAGUAGUUUAUAACCCCUUACCUUUGGUCUAAUAUAUCUCUGAAAAUAAAAGAUAAGACGGUGAUGUAUGUAGUGCGGGGCAAAGGUGAGAGCAAGGAACAGUGAUUCUUCAAAAUUUAGGUUGGCUAAAUUACUUUAAAAAAGAGUGGUACGUACGUGUAUAUUAGGUGUGUUUUCUUUACUUUCAAAGCAUACUUAAAUUAGUCCAAAGAGAGCUAAUUUCAAAGGUUGUUCAAGGGGAGGCAUUCGGUUGUGCAAGAAUUUCAACGAGCCCUUUUUUAAUAAAAAAACAUGCUCUUUCUCGAGUGUAUGGAAGACCACUUACGGAUUUUCGAACUCACUCUUAAUUUACAGGUAAGUAGGAAAAGAGGAGUUGGUAUGAAACCGUGGCAUGUGUUUAGCUUUGGUCCUUUGGAGCAUGUAAUAUUGUACAUUUCCAAGCGAUGCCACUUGAUGUUUUCUUGGGUGUUACUUUUACAAUAUGCCAAGCAUACCCAGUUGUUUCAUUUAUGGGUAAAUUGCAGAUCGUUUGAUCAGAUCUUGUAGAAGUAUAUUUAAAUUAAGAUAUUUUAAAAGAAAAAAAUGGUAUAUAAUUUAAGCUUCCAUGAGCAUGACAAUUACAAAGUCAAUAGGGCAUAAAAUACGAACAAAAGCGAUCAGAUUAUGAAAAUUCUGCUACCAUAGCAAAUUUAAUUUAGGUCACUACAAAACAAAUUGCUUAUAUAAAGAGAGGCUAAUUCCUUAUAAGAACACGCACGGUUCCUAAUACGGGUUGCAUACGCUCAAUUGGAAUUCGUAUGUGUGUGUGUGUCUAUAUAUAUAUAUAUCAUCAUAUCACAUGAAUAUUUUAGUUUCAGCCUAAAUCAAUAUCACAGCGAUCAUCACCUAACCAAGCACGCUACUAACUCUAGGACAACUGUAAUUUCAGCAGACUUAAUUAUUCUUCUCUCACAAGAUGUUGAUUCACUAAAUCCUAAUUUCAAAAACAUAUAUCAAACCUCAAAUGAAAAACUUGGAUGUGGGAAAAAUCUGGUCUACUUAGGAAAAUUUGGAUAAAAAUGCGUAUCAUAUUGUAUAAACUAUUUAUUGUUUUCGAUCCAAAUGUGUACAUAUCUUCAAGGUACGGUACAACUGGGAUCUAACUUUUGGACAGGAUUUCUUGCUAAUAAUCACAUGAACCUCCACUUAUUUUGGUGAUACAGCUUAGAAAUAUAAUGCCCAAGAAAAAUUGGCAACCCUAAAUCGUGAGUCAUGAGGUUGACAAAUGACAGCUGAAGUCAUAAACUUAAGGCAAAACAGCUACUUAUGAGUGAGUUGUGUAUCAUAUGCAUCAUAAAACAAUGAGCUAAUUGGCAUGUAAAGGAAGGAAAUAUGAUAUAUUUUGAACUCCAACAUGUUUUGUUUUUGGUUUCUGGUCAACUACUUCAACAUCAACACAGCGUGUUAAAUAAGGCUCUCGUGAGCUUUGCAGACCAAAGAGUAGUACUACAUAUUAUGUGAUAUGUCAAGCAGAGACGGCGAACGCAAUUGAGGGCCACGGACCACCGUAUCCAGCAGGAGCUGCCAAAGAUGGCGUCCGAUCUGCCCAGUUGACACUUGACAUUCUCCAUCAUAUAUUCAUAUGUUCACGGGCUCAGAUAUAAUUCUACUUUUUGCAAUUGAGAUCGAUUUCCACAUGAUGGAUCCGAAAGGAUCUUAUAACUCAGUGUUGUAGAUUUUCUUUUCGGAUUUAGAUAUGCAUUAGAUAUAGAUUGUGUUAGUUCCUUAUUCAUAUUUUAUAGUGACCCAGCCGGAAUUUAUAUUUACAUGCUAAUACAUAUAAUAAUCAGAAAUCAACAUUUUACAGAACCUUAAUUGAGCAAUAUUAAUGAUACAACCUGUAAGUGAGUUUAGAUUAUAUAUCGAUUAUUGAUCCACCAGACAGAUCAACUAAUAGAUUAUAUAUUAAGGUUAUUGGACUUGGGAUUGUAUACAUAGCAUGAUCUCUUUCGCAUAAUGUAAAAGUUUCAUGCCAGGCAUCUUACAAAACAAAUCAUAACUUAAAUUAAAUGGUUCCACUUCUUAAUUGUAUCGAGGAACUUUACGCUUAUUGAUUGCACGGGUGAUUAAUAAGGACAAUAUCGAUUUGGUUAGUGGUAGAUCACAACUAUCUUUCUAAAAUUUUAAUAGUAAGUGUGGCCGUUAAGCUUAACAUGUGAAUCAUGUACCAUUUUUAAAGACUGAAAAUCUAUUCGUAUAUGACCGAAAACUAAAGAAGAAACGUGUACCAACCAAAUUCAAAAAAAGAAAAUUGGGAAGUAACUUAGCCAACUCAAUGACUUGCAUGUUUUGGUUCUACAAGCCUCCUCCAAAAAAAUUUAAAUUAGGGUUGUUAUAAGAUCGGGUUGGAGGGAGAAAAUGAUUACUACAAUAAACAAACAGAUCAUGUUUCACAAGAGUCCAAAAGUCUCCAAAUAUUUUAGGGUCGUGUGCCUCCCUUGUUUCAUGUCCUAUAUAUAUAUACACUUGCAUAAUCUGUUGCUUGCCUUAAUAAGUCAAAACAAAAUGAAGCAGCAUGGCAUGAUUGGCACCAUUAAUCAGGCCUUCCAAAUUAAGUUCUCCAUUUUUUCUGUAAUCAUCUUUCUCCUCCUCCUCUCAUCCGCAAUGGAAAUUGAAGUCUCGAGGUCUCUUGUAGAUAAGCUGAUAUCUUCUAGCAGUUCAAUAAGUAGCAGGUUGAAGAUAGUUGAAGCAUGCUCUGGUGCUAGUAGGAGAGGGGCUGGUCGUGCUCUUCUGCAUAUUAACCUUUCUCGUGGAGCUUAAUAGCUAUAUACAUACACUUGUCAUGUUUGUAUUGGUUUAGUUAGUUAGAGGUGGUUAAGGAUAGUUAUGUAAUUGUCAUUGUAUAACUACUAUAUAAUUAUAAUCCCUUUUGUACAACUCAUCAAUGUAAUCUGAAAAACAUAAUACACCUUACAUUUCUCUCUCUAAGUUUCCCGCUUCCUCUCUCUUAUUGUAAUUAUUCUUCAUCGACUCAAUCUUCAAAGUUAGCAGAGUUCCAGUCAAGAAGUUGACCACGGCUAUAGCAUUUUCCGGUCCAGCUAAAGGCGGGGUUGGCCACUAGAUCAUCAAACUCACCGUGCUGCCAUUCCCCGAUGGAUCAUCAAUUUUUUUUUUGUACUUUUUUUUUUAAUUUGUAAUUUUAUUCAUAGUGCCGUCUUUUUAUUAUUAUUUUUGUUUCUGUUGAGAAACAUUUGGCAGUUGUUUGGGCAGAAAUGCGUUUUUUUCCUGCUUGCUCUUUUGGUCUCCUAAAAUGUUGUUUGGAUGGCAAGCAUAAUGUUGUCUUCAUGUCCAUGUGCAAAUUAAAUUAAAGUUUUUCCCCUCAAAAUGAGAGAAGGGGAAACAAGGAGUAGUGGUCGUACGCGGGAAACAAGAAUUGUGAUGACAAAAGUGAGGUUGUGCUUGGAAAUUUAAAAAGAAAAAUGAGGGUUGGGAUAUGAAAAUUAUCCAACAGGAGGAUCCUCUUUGUGAGGAUCCAGAUGAUUGGUAAAUUAUGUCCAUUUAUCGUACAUCGUAUGGUCAGUUUUUGUUAGUUACUAUUUAUGUUUAAUUUUAAAUAAAAAAAAAGUUUAAAAUGAUUUCUGACCGCACGAUAUACGAUGAACGGAUACGAUUUAUGGAUCUCCGGAUACUCACGAAGAGGAUCCGGAUUCGAAAAUUAUCACUUCACUUAAUUUUAGCAUUCAUAUAAUAUUCCACAAGUUUCCUUUUAAAGUUUGUUUGCAAUGCUUACAAAGGGUAAUAAUUGCGUUCCAUUAUAACUAACAACAAGCCAUAAUCUGUUUUACGGAUUGCGUAAUUGUGCCAUUAUGAUGAACUAAGAUAAAUAUCAAACAAAAGAAUGAUAGAUCUAGAGAGAGAGAAAGAGAGAGAGAGAAGAGAGAGGCUGGAAUUCAUUAAGCUAAUGGCCAGGGCCUUUUUUGCUAGGUCCAGAGGCCAAUCUAAACGCCAAGCUCCUCAUCGAAGGACAAAGAUCCGUACUGCUGCUCGAGUUGUAGUUAGAAGAAACAGCAAAGCUAGCCAUUCCUCCUGCUGCCUCCUCAGCCCCAUCACCACCUUUGCAACCGCCACUAGUGGUGGUGGCAUUAACACUCGCCGUCGUCGAUUUUAGGGUUCGGCAAUCAACUUGAGCAAACUGCGACGACACAAUCAGCACCAUCAACCCCAUUACAACCCACACGCAGUUGGAACUUGAUCCUGCCGAGUUCUUCUUCAUUGACAUAUUCAAGUUUCAACUAACAAAAUCUGUAAUCUCUAUUCACUUUUUUCUGGUUGGUUUAUUUUC
rnacentral:lncRNA from 1 species